GACGAACGCUGGCGGCGUGCUUAACACAUGCAAGUCGAACGAAGAGCGCUGGAUGCUUGCUUCUAUCACUCUUAGUGGCGAACGGGUGAGUAACGUGUAAUCAACCUGCCCUUCAGCGGGGGACGACAGUUGGAAACGACUGCUAAUACCGCAUACGAUCUAAUCUCGGCAUCGAGGAUAGAUGAAAGGUGGCCUCUACAUGUAAGCUAUCACUGAAGGAGGGGAUUGCGCCUGAUUAGCUAGCUGGGGGGGUAACGGCCCACCAAGGCGAUGAUCAGUAGCCGGUCGGAGAGGAGGGACGGCCACAUUGGGACUGAGACACGGCCCAGACUCCAACGGGAGGCAGCAGUGGGGAGUCGUCCGCAAUGGACGAUAGUCGGACGGAGCAACGCCGCGUGAGUGAUGACGGCUGUCGGGUUGUGAAGCUCUGUUAAUCGGGGCGAAAGGCCUUGUUGCGAAUAGUGAGAAGGAUUGACGGUACCGGAAUAGAAAGCCACGGCUAACUACGUG
rnacentral:rRNA from 1 species